rnacentral:rRNA from 1 species
AGAGUUUGAUCCUGGCUCAGAACGAACGCUGGCGGCAUGCCUAACACAUGCAAGUCGAACGCGUGUAGCGAUACACGAGUGGCGCACGGGUGAGUAACGCGUGGGAACCUGCCCUGGAGUGUGGGAUAACCCGGCGAAAGCCGGGCUAAUACCGCAUACGCCCCGAGGGGGAAAGAUUUAUCGCUCUAGGAGGGGCCCGCGUCGGAUUAGCUAGUUGGUGAGGUAACGGCUCACCAAGGCGAUGAUCCGUAGCUGGUCUGAGAGGAUGAUCAGCCACACUGGGACUGAGACACGGCCCAGACUCCUACGGGAGGCAGCAGUGGGGAAUAUUGGACAAUGGGGGCAACCCUGAUCCAGCAAUGCCGCGUGAGUGAUGAAGGCCUUAGGGUUGUAAAGCUCUUUCGCCCGCGACGAUGAUGACGGUAGCGGGAGAAGAAGCCCCGGCUAACUUCGUGCCAGCAGCCGCGGUAAUACGAAGGGGGCGAGCGUUGUUCGGAAUUACUGGGCGUAAAGGGCGCGCAGGCGGCCGUUGAAGUCAGAUGUGAAAGCCCCGGGCUCAACCUGGGAACAGCAUUUGAUACUCGAGGGCUGGAGGACGGGAGAGGAGAGUGGAAUUCCCAGUGUAGAGGUGAAAUUCGUAGAUAUUGGGAAGAACACCGGUGGCGAAGGCGGCUCUCUGGACCGUUACUGACGCUGAGGCGCGAAAGCGUGGGGAGCAAACAGGAUUAGAUACCCCCGUAGUCC